rnacentral:rRNA from 1 species
UACGGAGGGUGCAAGCGUUGUUCGGAAUUAUUGGGCGUAAAGCGCGUGUAGGUGGUUGGGUAAGUCAGAUGUGAAAGCCUUCUGCUUAACAGAAGAAGUGCAUUUGAAACUGCCCUUCUAGAGUACGGGAGAGGAAAGUUGAAUUCCCGGUGUAGAGGUGAAAUUCGUAGAUAUCGGGAGGAACACCAGUGGCGAAGGCGGCUUUCUGGUCCGAUACUGACACUGAGACGCGAAAGCGUGGGGAGCAAACAGG